AUUUUUUAUUUGAGGGCUUUUUUUGAAGAAAAUGGAUUUUCAUGAUCGUUGGGUACAAUGGGUGAUGGUCUUCAAGAUACAAUGAAGCCCAACUGUUAAGACUGCCGGCUACUUGCAUUUGCAUGAACAAAAUCAGACCUGAAUACCUUUGAAUUUUUCAAGUACGCCAAACAAUAGAACAGAUAUAGGUGGAAUGAAUUCUCAAGAAGAAACAAUGGAUAGUUUCUUAGUUCUCUUCUAUAUGGUGGAACCUCUCAGCUGGGUAUAGGGGAAGACAGCAAGAUAGGGUACUAGUGUUAUCUGCCCAUCCAACCUUGAUUAACAGAAUUUUUUAGUUUGUAUAGAAAGGUAACAGGUUGGACAACAAUCGUGUUCUAUAAUUGCUACAAUCGCUAGUGCAUAAAAUGUGAAAUUAGUUUCCUCACCAGGAACAAUGCUCUUGCCUCAGGUUAACGGCACAAGGGAUGUAAUGGCAUGGAAUGGAAACAACCAGUUGUUUGAUUUCAGCAUUGGAGAGGAUUCGAUCAUGUGCGCCAAUCCAUCUUCAACUAAGGCAGCCAGAACAACAUAGUCAUGAGAUACAUACAAGCAAGGGGAAGGAGAUCGAGGUAAUAAGUUCCAUACUUCUCUUCAUACCCUUGGAAAGUAAACUUGCAAUUAUAUUUCAUCAAAUACUGCAGAUUGUAAUUGGAAUAGAAUAGCAAUCCACCCAAUGCUUUUCUUAACAAAUGCAUAGUAUGGAAAUGAGUAGUUUAUCAACGUAAUAAGUUUUAUAAAGGUAGCAUUCUAGCAUUUCUACAGUGCAGUAUGCACCUCUUAGAGCUAGCAACACCACUAAUACAAUGUACUUAUAUCCAUUCGAAGUAUAUAUUAGAGAAUUGGACAAGUUUUUGCCAUGGCUUGUCCUUCGCUUGUUUUUGGGCUGGACUACCAAAAAUACCCCUUCUGAGGAUGUUGUCUGGUUUUUGUUGUUGAGGGAUAUUGUUGUCAUUUCAAUAACAGUCCAGAUUUUAGGGCACCACGUAAUGUAGGGCUUUCCUUACUCAAGAAGCAAAAGCCAAAAUUUUCCUUCUUUUCUACCUUCUCUUGUACAAUUGGCGUUCAUGAAGCAAAAGGCACAAUUUCUUCUUUUGCUUUGAGGGAUGAAGCCCUUUCUCUCACACACAGAGGAGACUAUUUUCUCAAUCGAUUUUGCCUGACUAUUCCGUUCAUGCCGGCAUGUCGUAUUGGAUCCACCCUCGCUACCGAUGUUAGGCAGAGUAGAACCAGUUAGCAUUGUUGAAGGUACUGAGAAACUUGAGAAUCGGUGGAUACCGUAGUAGCAAGCACCUAGCUUUGAUCAGUGAAACCAGAGCGCCUAAAGCCUCUCUCAUCUUACUGAAGUUAUUUUUCCAUGGUGUCACUUUUGAGCACCAAAGAAGAGGCGUAACCUCCGUAAAGAUUGACGCCAAGGCUGCCCAAACACGGAUUUACCCAGUUCCUGUUUCAAAUGGCUUCCAAAAUGAAACAAAUACUGGAUUCCUGAGAGUUCCUGAAACCCAUAACAAAUUGCAGAGUUUAGCAAUGGAAUGCAAACUAUCUUCGUUCUCACGCAUCCGAUCCGAAGCAAACAUAGUACUUGUCCAUGGAGUUUUUCCAAGGACGAGCAUUGAUUCGAGAUGCUUAUAAUGAUGCUCUGAAUAAGCUGGGACAUGAACUUGAGGAAGUUGUUGAGCAGGCAUAGUGAGCUAAGGAGUUGCCCUGAUUCGAGUUUUUUGCGGGGUAUGUCGAACUUUUCCUCUCCGAGGAGUUGGCUUCUGAGCUGCUACUACGUAUUUUGUGAGAGAAACCUACUAAGAUGGAGUAAAUGGUCAGACUAACUUACUAAGAUGAAGUAAAUGGGACUGCAAAUGUGAAAAACAUUAUAUUGUAUAGAAUGGAUUCAGGGAAAUUAUGACUUUUAGUUAGUUGCAUACUUAUAAUUAGCUUUGAUAAACCAAGGUCCAAAAAGCAAUUUGCGAUGUUCAUGCUUUUGGACUACGGACUUCCUUGUUUUUGUUGUGUGGUCAUAGUGUUAGGGUAUAUUAUUGUUUAAACUUUAUGAUAUAACGCGGUGCUGAAAGGAAGAUAGGUUAGGUGUUGGACGUUAUUCGGGGGUGUAAGAGAGGAAAAGCUUAAUGAUGCAGAGUUAAUGUGAGCUUUGGAAUUGUUGGUGU